CGGACGGGUGAGUAACACGUGGAUAACCUACCUAUAAGACUGGGAUAACUUCGGGAAACCGGAGCUAAUACCGGAUAAUAUAUUGAACCGCAUGGUUCAAUAGUGAAAGACGGUUUUGCUGUCACUUAUAGAUGGAUCCGCGCCGCAUUAGCUAGUUGGUAAGGUAACGGCUUACCAAGGCAACGAUGCGUAGCCGACCUGAGAGGGUGAUCGGCCACACUGGAACUGAGACACGGUCCAGACUCCUACGGGAGGCAGCAGUG
rnacentral:rRNA from 1 species